CGAAGAACAAGAAAAUGAAAAAACAGGUCACAACAAAAUAACUAAAUCGGUUCAACAAAAGAAGGAAAAAGAAAAAGAAAAAGAUAGUUAUCGCAAUAACAAUAGUUAUCUUGGAAGCAAUGGUAAGGAGGACGAAGAAGAAGAUGAUGAUGCCAGUGGUAGUGAAGAUGACGAUGUUAGUGGUGACGAUGACGAUGAUAGUGAUGAAGGUGAUGAUGGUGAAGAAGAUAGUGAAAGUAAUGGAAGUGAAGAAAUCGAAAUUGAAAGCGAAGGUAGAGAUACGUAUAAAAAUUAUAACAAUCUUACAAGUUGUGAAAAUGGAGAUAUUGAUAAAAGAUUAGAUAAUAACUCAUAUUAUGACUACAAAAUGAAGUAUAAUGCUUAUGAUUUUAGAAAUGAAGAAUAUGUAAACGAACAUAAAUAUAAAAAUACUAAUAGUAGUAGUAGUAGUAAUGAUGAUGAUAAUAGUAGUUAUUAUAAUAAAAAAAAUUCAUUUAAUAAAGAAGGGGAUUUUAGAUUAGCUAAUAGUAAAACAGUAAAAAGUCGUGAGCUAACAGAAAAAGAAAAAAUGGCAGCUGCUUUGUUUAAUGGUUUAAUACCUACAGAUGUACCACUUGGUAAUUCAAAGUAUGAAGAUUAUGUUCCGAAUGAUUAUUUAAAUCAAAAAAGCACAACAUCAUAUCCAAGUAAAAGCAACAGCUUUAACUUAAAAUAUGAUAAUAGUGGUAACAGGAAAAGUAAAACGAAUAACCAAACAAGCAAAGGUAUUAAGUUUGAUAAUACGAAUGAUACUAAUAAAACGACCAGUACAAAAAUAAUUGCUCCUUUUAGUAAAGAAAGAGAUUAUAAAACAAUAAGAGAAAAUAAAAAGAAAGAAUAUAAGUCUUUAAAUUUGUUAGAUAAUAAUACAAAUAAUUCAUAUAACCACAACCUAGGGGGUGAAGGAAGAGUCAAAAAUUCGUUGGAUAUAAUAUAUUCGAAUAAACCAUCCGAAGAAAAAGAUGAGGACGUUGUUACUAACGACUCAAAUAAAGAAGAGGACAAGAUGUUAUGGAAUAACAUCAGUAAUCAGAGAAAGGCUGUAUUUUUAAACAUUUAUAAAUUAAACAUAUUUCAGAUUAUUAAAAAAUUAGAAGUACAAUUUUUUUUUUUUUUUUUUUUUUUUUUUUUGAUAAAAUGGUUUUUGUCAUGUUUAGAUUGUAGAUUAAUUAAUUAGCUUUGGUCUUUUUUUGGUUUACAUUUUUCGUACUGAAAUUAGUACCACUCGUUUUAUUGCAUAGUUUUUCUAUUUUUUAUUUUUUUACUUGCCAGCUUGAACUGUUAAGCGCCUAUAAUAUAACAAGAAUCUGCAGUCCGAGAUCGGAAGAGCGUAAUGUAAAACAAAAAUUCCAAAGUUGUAAAUGUCACAAAAAAAGAAGCGUUAACUUCUUGUGUUUAUAGCCAGAAAAAAGUUUUAAUUAAAAUUUUGAUAGAAGACAAUAAAUUGAUUUUUUUUGUCA
rnacentral:lncRNA from 1 species